CCAAUAGCGUAUAUUAAAGUUGUUGCAGUUAAAAAGCUCGUAGUUGAAUUUCGGGAUUGACACAUCGGUCGUGCCUUAAGGGGUAUGAACUGGUGUAGUCAAUUUCUCACCUUCUGGAGAACCGCGAUGCCCUUAAUUGGGUGUCGCGGGGAACCAGGACCUUUACUUUGAAAAAAUUAGAGUGUUUAAAGCAGGCAUUUUGCUUGAAUACAUUAGCAUGGAAUAAUAAAAUAGGACGGCAUGAUUCUAUUUUGUUGGUUUCUAGGAUCACCGUAAUGAUUAAUAGGGAUAGUUGGGGGCAUUAGUAUUCAAUUGUCAGAGGUGAAAUUCUUGGAUUUAUUGAAGACUAACUACUGCGAAAGCAUUUGCCAAGGAUGUUUUCAUUAAUCAAGAACGAAAGUUAGGGGAUCGAAGACGAUCAGAUACCGUCGUAGUCUUAACCAUAAACUAUGCCGACUAGGAAUCAGACGAUGUUAAUUUUUUAAUGACUCGUUUGGCACCUUACA
rnacentral:rRNA from 1 species